GACGAACGCUGGCGGCGUGCCUAAUACAUGCAAGUCGAGCGAAGUUUUUCUGGCGCUUGCACUAGAAAAACUUAGCGGCGAACGGGUGAGUAACACGUAAGGAACCUGCCUCAUAGACUGGGACAACUAUUGGAAACGAUAGCUAAUACCGGAUAACAGUAUUUCUCGCAUGAGAGAUAUUUAAAAGUUGGUUAUGCUAACACUAUGAGAUGGCUUUGCGGUGCAUUAGCUAGUUGGUGGGGUAAAGGCCCACCAAGGCGACGAUGCAUAGCCGACCUGAGAGGGUGAUCGGCCACACUGGGACUGAGACACGGCCCAGACUCCUACGGGAGGCAGCAGUAGGGAAUCUUCCGCAAUGGGCGAAAGCCUGACGGAGCAACGCCGCGUGAGUGAAGAAGGAUUUCGGUUCGUAAAGCUCUGUUGUUAGGGAAGAAUGGAUAUGUAGUAACUAUACAUGUAAGAGACGGUACCUAACCAGAAAGCCACGGCUAACUACGUG
rnacentral:rRNA from 1 species